UGUGACCUUAAACAUCCUCAGAUUUCUUUUCCUCCAGAAAUUAAGGACUAAUCAAUAUUGCUUAGUUUGCUUAAAGCCAUACUUGAUUCUUCUCUUUCUUGGACCAGAUGGCACCUGGAAGGUUUGAGCCCUUGAGGACGAUAGACCCACACAAAGGAUCAUCUUUGCUUUACAAAAGCAACCAGCACCCUACCAAUUUCAAGAGCCAAGAAAAUUCCAGAGCAGCAAGUCUGUGGAUAGUUCCUGAGAGCCUGCCUAAUGGAACUUGACUUCUACCGUCCUGGCUAAGUGCUUUAGUAAAUGUGCUGCCAUGUCAC